rnacentral:RNase_P_RNA from 1 species
UCGGUGGAGGAGGGAUCGCUGUGGCUGGAGGAAACUCCGUGCCAUGGAGGAAAGUCCGGACUCCGCAGGGCAAGGUGUCCUGGUGUAAUGCCGGGAAGGGUGCGGGCAAACCGCGCCGAUGGAAAGUGCCACAGAAAGCAAACCGCCGGUACGCCGGUAAGGGUGAAAGGGUGGUGCAAGAGACCACCGUACGCGAUGGAAACAUUGCGGUGCAAGGUAAACCCCACUUGGAGCAAGAUCAAAUAGGGAACUUGGUUGCGGCCCGCAUAUGCUUGAACCGAAAGGUUCAAACUCAGUUCCGGGUUGAUUGCUUAGAUGAAUGAUCCCUACUCGCCUCCGGGCGAAAUACAGAAUUCGGCUUAUGAAUCCACCGUUCCG